rnacentral:rRNA from 1 species
AUGUCUCGCUUCGGGCGCUCCGGCCCGCCGCCGAUCCGCGACACCUACUCCCUCCUCGUCCUCAACAUCACCUUCCGUAAGUUUCCUCUCCGCAUCUCCACCGCGCUCUUCCCUUCUCCCCGAGGUACGCCUCCAUUAGGCGGCCGCCCUAAUCCUCCCCGUGCGUGUCUGGCAGGUACCACCGCCGAUGACCUUUUCCCGCUCUUCGACAAGUACGGCGAGGUCGUCGACAUCUACAUCCCUAGGGACCGCAGGACUGGCGACUCGCGAGGGUUUGCCUUCGUGAGGUACAAGUAUGAGGACGAGGCGCAGAAGGCAGUUGAUCGCCUGGAUGGGAGGUUGGUGGAUGGGAGGGAGAUGAUGGUGCAGUUUGCCAAGUACGGCCCAAAUGCUGAGCGGAUGUACCGGGAUGAUCAUCGGGGCAGAGAUUCUAGAAGGCGAAGUCGGAGUCGGAGUGGAGAUAGAUAUGGACGUGACAGGUACAGAGAGAGGGAUCAUCAUCGUCGUAGCAGGAGUCUUAGCGCUAGUCCUGAUGAUUACAAGAGGCGUGGCAGAGACAGAAGUCCUAGUCGUAGCAGGAGCCGCAGCUACAGUCCUGAUGAUGACAGGAAGGGUGGCAGAGACAGUUUGUCGCCUGCACGCAGAAGCACUAGUCGCUCCCCUCGCAAGACACCACCUCCUCGCAAGACACCACCUCCUCGCGAGGGGUCUCCUGCUAGGCGCAAUGAUGACCGGUCUCCUGUUGGGCGCAAUGAUGACCGGUCUCCUGUUAGGCGCAACGAUGACCGGUCUCCAGGCUCUCGUAGCCCUUCAACAUGA